rnacentral:misc_RNA from 1 species
CGUUUUGAGGCUGGUUCAUCAUCCUCCACUCCUCCCAUGAAAUGUGCACCUCAGCCCAUCAGAUUUUGUUUGAAAUUUUGAGGAAGCCUUGAUUGUGAGACAANNNNNNNUUCCAGGAAAAGAGGGGAAGCCGUAGAUUGAAGAAAAGAAAAAGGCGGAGAGAGUUUCCCCAAAGGUUAUGCACCUAAUGUUGAAGAUAGAAGUACA